CAGAGAAACAAGCGCACAACCAUCUUUCAAAUUUUGUAUUCACUUCCGUUUGUGCAGUCGCUCUGUAUAUUUCUAUGGCAUCGCUGUUAAUGAGUAAUUAGCUGCUGAAGUGGAUUUACUUAUUAUAGAGUUAACAAAAGUUAUCAUGAGCAUUGUAAUGUAUGAAGUGGAUGCCAUAUAAAAUGUCAGUAGACCGGGAAUAUUUUAAAACGAGCAGUUAAUUCAUAAAUCCAUAAGAUCUUACCUUCAUGCUGUGGAAAUACAAACCAGAAGACAGAACACAAUGAACACAGUGCUGAAAAGGGGCGGGCUACAUAAGGGUCUAUAUGGUUAUAUGAUACUUCCUUUACAUUUAAUAAUGUUGUAUCAUGCUUUACUUUUUUGCUGUGCUUGUUAUUUUGUGGGUGUUACUGUUCCUGUGUGCUUUCCUCCUGCAGGUUCAGGUUCAGGGUAUGACAGGAAAUAUUCAGUUCGACUCGUUUGGACGGCGAUCAAAUUACACCAUUGAUGUUUAUGAAAUGAAACCAGGAGGAGCCAGAAAGAUUGGCUACUGGAAUGAAUAUGAGAAAUUUGUUUAUAUAGUGGAGCAGCAGGUUAC